rnacentral:rRNA from 1 species
AACGAACGCUGGCGGCAUGCCUAACACAUGCAAGUCGAACGAGAACUUCGGGCCUAGUGGCGCACGUGUGGGUAACAAGUGGGAAGCUACACUUAGGUUACGAAUCACUCACCGUAGGGGAUGCUCAUAAAAGUUAAUCUCAUACGACCAAAGAUUUCUUGCCUUUGGAUGGGCCUGGGUUGGAUUAGCUGGUUGGUAGGGUAAAAGCCUACCAAGGCGACGAUGCAUAGCUGGUCUGUGAGGAUGAUCAGCCACACUGGGACUGAGACACGGCCCAGACUCCUACGGGAGGCAGCAGUGGAGAAUAUUGGACAAUGGGCGAAAGCCUGAUCCAGCAAUGCCGCGUGAGUGAUGAAGGCCUUAGGGUUGUAAAGCUCUUUUACCCGGGAUGAUAAUGACAGUACCGGGAGAAUAAGCUCCGGCUAACUCCGUG